rnacentral:rRNA from 1 species
AUUGAACGCUGGCGGCAGGCUUAACACAUGCAAGUCGAGCGGGGGAAGGUAGCUUGCUACCGGACCUAGCGGCGGACGGGUGAGUAAUGCUUAGGAAUCUGCCUAUUAGUGGGGGACAACAUCUCGAAAGGGAUGCUAAUACCGCAUACGUCCUACGGGAGAAAGCAGGGGAUCACUUGUGACCUUGCGCUAAUAGAUGAGCCUAAGUCGGAUUAGCUAGUUGGUGGGGUAAAGGCCUACCAAGGCGACGAUCUGUAGCGGGUCUGAGAGGAUGAGCCGACACACUGGGACUGAGAAACGGCACAGACUCCUACGGGAGGCAGCAGUGGGGAAUAUUGGACAAUGGGGGGAAGCCUGAUCCAGCCAUGCCGCGUGUGUGAAGAAGGCCUUAUGGUUGUAAAGCACUUUAAGCGAGGAGGAGGCUCUCUUGGUUAAUACCCAAGAUGAGUGGACGUUACUCGCAGAAUAAGCACCGGCUAACUUCGUGCCAGCCGCCGCCGUAA